CUGAAGAGGUUGCCGAACCUAUCAGUACCCGGGGUCAGACAGUGUGGUGUCGGCCAUCCCCGGCGAAAGGAAGUUCGGCCGAAACGGUCCGGUUCUGCACUGCCGGCUCGUUGGGUCCGGGCUGAAGAAGUCCGGGACUGUCGCGGCUCGAUGCCGCGGAGCGCUAUG
rnacentral:ncRNA from 1 species